UACGGGGGGGGCAAGCGUUGUUCGGAAUUACUGGGCGUAAAGGGCGCGUAGGUGGCCAACUAAGUCAGACGUGAAAUCCCUCGGCUUAACCGGGGAACUGCGUCUGAUACUGGUUGGCUUGAGUUUGGGAGAGGGACGCGGAAUUCCAGGUGUAGCGGUGAAAUGCGUAGAUAUCUGGAGGAACACCGGUGGCGAAGGCGGCGUCCUGGACCAACACUGACACUGAUGAGCGAAAGCCAGGGGAGCAAACGGG
rnacentral:rRNA from 1 species